UACAGAGGUCUCAAGCGUUGUUCGGAUUCAUUGGGCGUAAAGGGUGCGUAGGUGGGCAGGUAAGUCAGUGGUGAAAUCUCUGGGCUUAACUCAGAAACUGCCAUUGAUACUAUCUGUCUUGAAUACCGUGGAGGUCAGCGGAAUAUGUCAUGUAGCGGUGAAAUGCUUAGAUAUGACAUAGAACACCAAUUGCGAAGGCAGCUGGCUACACGAAUAUUGACACUGAUGCACGAAAGCGUGGGGAUCAAACAGG
rnacentral:rRNA from 1 species